rnacentral:rRNA from 1 species
AUUGAACGCUGGCGGCAGGCCUAACACAUGCAAGUCGAACGAGUGGCGGACGGGUGAGUAAUGUCUGGGAAACUGCCUGAUGGAGGGGGAUAACUACUGGAAACGGUAGCUAAUACCGCAUACCAUCGGAUGUGCCCAGAUGUGAUUAGCUGGUAGGUGGGGUAACGGCUCACCUAGGCGACGAUCCCUAGCUGGUCUGAGAGGAUGACCAGCCACACUGGAAACAGGACACGGUCCAGACUCAUACGGGAGUCAGCAGUGGGGAAUAUUGCACGAUGGGGGGAAGCCUGAUGCAGCCAUACCGCGUGUAUGAAGAAGGCCUUCGGGUUGUAAAGUACUUUCAGCGGGGAGGCGUUACCCGCAGAAGAAGCAACGGCUAACUCCGUGCCAGCAGCCGCGGUAAUUC